UACCAGCACCCCGAGUGGUCGGGACGUUUAUUGGGACUAAAGCAUCCGUAGCCGGUUCUACAAGUCUUCCGUUAAAUCCACCUGCUUAACAGAUGGGCUGCGGAAGAUACUAUAGAGCUAGGAGGCGGGAGAGGCAAGCGGUACUCGAUGGGUAGGGGUAAAAUCCGUUGAUCCAUUGAAGACCACCAGUGGCGAAGGCGGCUUGCCAGAACGCGCUCGACGGUGAGGGAUGAAAGCUGGGGGAGCAAACCGG
rnacentral:rRNA from 1 species